rnacentral:misc_RNA from 1 species
UUUCCGUAGGUGAACCUGCGGAAGGAUCAUUACAGAGUUCAUGCCCUCACGGGUAGAUCUCCCACCCUUGAAUAUUUAUACCUUAGUUGCUUUGGCAGGCCGUGGAAACACCAUGGGCUCCGGCUUAUGCGUGCCUGCCAGAGGAAACAAACUCUGUUUUUAGUGAUGUCUGAGUACUAUAUAAUAGUUAAAACUUUCAACAACAGAUCUCUUGGUUCUGGCAACGAUGAAGAACGCAGC